rnacentral:misc_RNA from 1 species
AAGGAGUCGUCUUCGUAUGCGAGUGUUCGGGUGUCAAACCCCUACGCGUAAUGAAAGUGAACGUAGGUGAGAGCUUCGGCGCAUCACCGACCGAUCCUGAUGUUCUCGGAUGGAUUUGAGUAAGAGCAUACGGCGCCGGACCCGAAAGAAGGUGAACUAUGCCUGUAUAGGGUGAAGCCAGAGGAAACUCUGAUGGAGGCUCGUAGCGAUACUAACGUGCAAAUCGUUCGUCAAACAUGGGCAUAGGGGCGAAAGACUAAUCGAACCAUCUAGUAGCUGGUUCCCUC